rnacentral:tRNA from 1 species
GGGGUUGUAGCCCAGUGGUUAGAGCGUCGGACUGCAACUUAAGGUCGGAGGUUCGAUUCCCGAUCCCA